rnacentral:tRNA from 1 species
GGGGAUUUGGCUCAAUUGGUGGAGUGCUUUCCUCACAUGCACAAGGCCCUGGGUUCAAUUCCCAGCAUCACCA